GCCCUACGGGGGAAAGGUGGCCUCUGCCUGCAAGCCAUCGCUAUUGGAUGAGCCCGCGUUAGAUUAGCUAGUUGGUGGGGUAAAGGCCUACCAAGGCGACGAUCUAUAGCUGGUCUGAGAGGACGAUCAGCCACAUCGGGACUGAGACACGGCCCGGACUCCUACGGGAGGCAGCAGUGGGGAAUAUUGGACAAUGGGGGCAACCCUGAUCCAGCAAUGCCGCGUGUGUGAAGAAGGCCUGCGGGUUGUAAAGCACUUUCAAUUGUGAAGAAAAGCCUAAGGUUAAUAUCCUUGGGUCUUGACGUUAACAUUAGAAGAAGCACCGGCUAACUCCGUGCCAGCAGCCGCGGUAAUACGGAGGGUGCAAGCGUUAAUCGGAAUUACUGGGCGUAAAGCGCGCGUAGGCGGUU
rnacentral:rRNA from 1 species